GACGAACGCUGGCGGCGUGCCUAAUACAUGCAAGUAGAACGCUGAAGGAGGAGCUUGCUUCUCUGGAUGAGUUGCGAACGGGUGAGGAACGCGUAGGUAACCUGCCUGGUAGCGGGGGAUAACUAUGGGAAACGAUAGCUAAUACCGCAUAAGAGUAGAUGUUGCAGGACAUUUGCUGAAAAGGUGGAAUUGCAUCAAUACCAGAUGGACCUGCGUUGUAUUAGCUAGUUGGUGGGGUAACGGCUCACCAAGGCGACGAUACAUAGCCGACCUGAGAGGGUGAUCGGCCACACUGGGACUGAGACACGGCCCAGACUCCUACGGGAGGCAGCAGUAGGGAAUCUUCGGCAAUGGACGGAAGUCUGACCGAGCAACGCCGCGUGAGUGAAGAAGGUUUUCGGAUCGUAAAGCUCUGUUGUAAGAGAAGAACGAGUGUGAGAGUGGAAAGUUCACACUGUGACGGUAUCUUACCAGAAAGGGACGGCUAACUACGUG
rnacentral:rRNA from 1 species